CAAAUGAAUUGACGGGGACCCGCACAAGCGGUGGAUGAUGUGGAUUAAUUCGAUGCAACGCGAAGAACCUUACUACCCUUGACAUGUCCGGAAGUUGCCAGAGAUGGCUUCGUGCUCGAAAGAGAGCCGUAACACAGGUGCUGCAUGGCUGUCGUCAGCUCGUGUCGUGAGAUGUUGGGUUAAGUCCCGCAACGAGCGCAACCCUUGUCAUUAGUUGCUACGAAAGGGCACUCUAAUGAGACUGCCGGUGACAAACCGGAGGAAGGUGGGGAUGACGUCAAGUCCUCACGGCCCUUAUAGGUGGGGCUACACACGUCAUACAAUGGCUGGUACAAAGGGUUGCCAACCCGCGAGGGGGAGCCAAUCCCAUAAAGCCAGUCGUAGUCCGGAUCGCAGUCUGCAACUCGACUGCGUGAAGUCGGAAUCGCUAGUAAUCGUGGAUCAGCAUGUCACGGUGAAUACGUUCCCGGGUCUU
rnacentral:rRNA from 1 species